GCGAUGGCGCGCUAAACGUUUUUCGCAUCCACUUUGAUGUCAGACCUUUUUUUCUUUAUUUCGGCCACGGCCCGAGGUUGUGAGGCUGCAGCGUUGCUCUGAAACCUUUUGCCAGCCACUCAAGUGCCUUUUUGGUUAGUAAGACCCUAACUGUGCCCUUCAUAAAGCAUUUUACUUCUCCUUUCCACCCCGCCAAUGAUCAUUUCGACUUCACACUGGGUGAAGUUACGUUUCUUCGUUUUCCUCUCAGUGUUUGUCAUGAUUUCGCAAUCGAUGAAUAUUGAUUUGUGGGCGUUCCACAGACUAUAUAUGGGCAACUAUGGGCGUGAUAUGAAGCCGCAAAAGCUGCGGAGCAUUUAGAAGUGAUAGUGAUUUCAUCCGUACGCCACUUCUCCUACGCAAGGUUUUAUAAAUGAGGCCCCUGGACCCUACACUGCCUGACAGCCGCACACUGGCUCAGAAGGAAAAGGAGAAGAGGAUGAUGUCAGAUGCUGUACACUACAACAGGCGUCACCGUGCAUAAAUGCACAGUGUCUUGUCACCAGGAGAACCUGUAUGGGUCACCGACGCUAAGACGUCUGGAACUGUCAUCCAGAACCACACCCCAGAGGCUUUAAUUUUGAAGAGCUGUGGUCUCCCCCUGUUCAUUCCUGAAGGGUGUGGCUGGAACAGCGGACGGCAUUCAGCCAUCAGGGGACUCUCAUAUCAUCCCGGGUCUUCCUGCCAUUCAGCGCCAGAUCGUUCCAACGUCAGAGUGGUAAACUACUUUUUCAGGCCAUCUGGCUGCUCGCUGUGGAUUAGACGCUGUCUUUGUUUCUGUUCUUUUUCUGUUUUUGCCCUAGUGCUUGAGGAUUCCUACCUGCCGGCUGGCAGGCUCUCAGAGUCCGGUCUCCCCCCCCCGACUCAACCGGUACCUGUGUGCCAAAUUGUGUGUGUACGAUCUGAAUAAACACCUUGUUUUCACGUCGGAAGAACCUUCCUUUGAGUCCUGUGUGCUGCGCUUGGGCCCACGCCCAUCUACCUCACCGUAACUGUCAGGGGUGCCUGGGGAAGGCCGGACUCAAGAUCCAGACUUAACCAAAAAGACUUUAAUAGUCAAAAAAGGCCACAAAGCAAAAGGCCAAUGGGCAAAAACACACACAGGAACUGGGGGCAAAAAGGCACACAGGAACCGAGAACAUCCAGGACGAUAGACAAUGACGCGACAAGUGACACAAGAGACACACGGCUUAAAUAUACCUGGGAGGUGAAGGUGAUUGGACACAGGUGGAAACAAUCAGACAAUUACAGGGGAUGACAGGACCAGGCAGGAAGUGAAGUUACCCAGGGAGACAAUAAGCAGAAAACUACAAAAUAAGACAGGAAAUAAAACCACACCGUGACAGUAACAGAUUAUCCCUGUUUAACUGAUGUUGUCUGAUUGUGUACUAUCAACCUGAAUUGAAUUAAUUAUAUGACUAUUGAUUGUUUCCUUUUAAAUGCCAUCGGAAAUAUACUAGAAUUUGGCUCCCAAAUUACAUUUUGACAGGAUUUAAUUUUGAAAUGCUACAUCCGAAUGUCCUGAUUAUCCAAAACUAAUAUAAAUUGAACAAAAGUUGGCUCAUGAAUGAGAUUUUAAAGGAAGUUGGCUCAUGUAUAACAUUGUUUGAAAUGCUACAUAAGAAUAGGUAUUUCUUGAUAUUUUCUGGUCUGUCUGAAUGAAUUAUUUCUAUAUGUAUUUGAAUAAUUACACAAUUGACAUAACAUUAUCAUUUAUAGACUAUAUAUCUAGUUCUUAGAUAGAUAGAUAGAUAGAUAGGUACUUUAUUGAUCCCUCAAGAGGGAAAUGUUGGUAUCACAGCAGCAUGUACAGGGAAGAAAAUAGAAUAAAAAGAUACACAUUAUAUACAAUAUAAUAAGAUAGAAAUAUUAAAUUAUUAUAUUAAAUUAAAUAAACUAAAACUGAAACAAAAGAAUAACCUUCCAAAAGAGACAAUAAUAAUAAUUUGUAAAAGGAGAAGAGGAAGAUGAAGAGCAGCAACAUCACAGCAGUACAGGGUUAUUAUUGUCAUUAUUUAGCCUGGGAUGAUUUAUUGUAAAGUGUUAUUGCACUGGGCAGGAAUGAUCUCCUGUAUCAGUCCUUGUGACAGCGGAGCUGAAGGAGUCUGUUGGAGAACGCGCUCCGCUGUCCCUGUAGCAGGUGGUGAAGGGGGUGGUCAGGAUUAUCCAAUAUGGAUAACAGUUUCUUCAGUGACCUCCCCUCCAACACCUUUUCCAAGCUGUCCUGUUUGCAGCCAAUGAUGGAGCCGGCCUUCUUAACAAGUUUGUUAAGUCUGUUGGUGUCACUGGCUCAAAUGCUGCUCCCCCAGCAGACCACGGCCAAGUACAAAGCACUGGCCACAACAUCUCCAACAUCUUGCUGCACACAUGGAAGGAUCGAAGCUUCCUCAGGAAAAAGAGUCGACUCAUUCCCUUCCUGUAGACGGCGUUGAUGUUGGUCUUCCAGUUCAGUCUGUUGUCGAUGGAGACACCCAGGUACUUGUAGUCCUCGACCAUGGCCACCUCCUCUCCCAGAACCCUCAGCGGUAGCGGAGCCGUUGUCUUCCUCCAGAAGUCGACCACCAUCUCUCUGGUCUUGGCCACGUUCAGGAGCAGGUGUUACAACUAACAUGCAGACUGGCUUGAUCGCAGUGAAAAGAAGCGCCCUUUGGGUGGAUCAUCUUGUUGUUGGAUACUUUCAAAUGAUCGGUUGACGGUCGGAAAUAUUCUCUACUAGAAAGUUGCACUUUGCUCCUCUUAAAUAACUAGAACAUGAUAUGUGAUAUUCAGGGGCAAACGCUAAUAGUAACAAAAUGUUUAGUGGCGACAAAAUAUAUUUGGAAGACCAAUGAGAAGAUUUUUUUUUAAAAGAGUGGGAUCUGAAAUUGUUUUAACGAAGCGACAAAUGGCUAUUCCCACAGUCUGCCGU
ensembl:lncRNA